GACGUAGGUGGCGAACGUUAUCCGGAAUUAUUGGGCGUAAAGGGUGCGUAGGCGGCGCGGUAAGUCGGGUGUGAAAUCUCGGGGCUUAACUCCGAAACUGCAUUCGAUACUGCCGUGCUUGAGGACUGGAGAGGAGACUGGAAUUUACGGUGUAGCGGUGAAAUGCGUAGAUAUCGUAAGGAAGACCAGUGGCGAAGGCGGGUCUCUGGACAGUUCCUGACGCUGAGGCACGAAGGUCAGGGGAGCAAACGGG
rnacentral:rRNA from 1 species